AGAGUGUACUGUGACUGCAGUUACCCUAGCAGUCCGUAUUUUUAGCUUAAUGUUUUAUUGCUCUAUAAAGUAGUGCACCAGGGCAGGCUAGGCUCGGUUAAUUAAUUAUGUAUAAGCAGUAACAAAGUUCGACUAUGCUGUAUAAUUUUGAUCUACGUAUUCUUCACAGUAAGCCUUGCUCAUCCCCUCUGCACUCUUCCACCUGACAGCUGAGUUGCAAACUGAAAGUGACGUUGAUGCUGCCUGCCUUUUCUCCAUCCCAUCGCCGUGCAAGGAUGGAUACUGGACGAAGUUCAUCAAUUCACUCUGCCAUUCAACAGAGAUGUAAAUGGCUGAAGAUAGAAGAUAGAAGACGAUAGAUUUUACAUCCAGCCCAAGAGGAUUUGACUAUUCCAUUGAGCAGGCUCGGGUCAGCUAAGUCCUUCUCUUCAAAGCAUCAUGGGUGUCUCUGAGCAUCAUUGCAAGCUAGUCCUGGCAGUAAGCCAGGCUUCAAAAGCCUUUCACCACAGCUACUGACUCACUAAUGGGCAGCUGCAGGCUUUCUGAUUCUCCUUUCGUUUCAUGUGUUCAUUUGACAUAAAUUUAAUUAAACCAAAUCUGGUGUUAAAGCAAGAUGAGAUAAAAGUGAUAUGUUUCAAAUUAAAGAACUGUGAACGAUA